rnacentral:rRNA from 1 species
UACGAAGGGGGCUAGCGUUGCUCGGAAUUACUGGGCGUAAAGCGCACGUAGGCGGAUUGUUAAGUCGGGGGUGAAAUCCUGGAGCUCAACUCCAGAACUGCCUUCGAUACUGGCGAUCUAGAGUCCGGGAGAGGUGAGUGGAACUGCGAGUGUAGAGGUGAAAUUCGUAGAUAUUCGCAAGAACACCAGUGGCGAAGGCGGCUUACUGGUCCGGUUCUGACGCUGAGGCGCGAAAGCGUGGGGAGCAAACAGG